UACGUAGGGUGCGAGCGUUAAUCGGAAUUACUGGGCGUAAAGCGUGCGCAGGCGGUUCGUUGUGUCUGAUGUGAAAGCCCCGGGCUCAACCUGGGAACGGCAUUGGAAACUGGCGAGCUAGAGUGUGGCAGAGGGGGGUGGAAUUCCGCGUGUAGCAGUGAAAUGCGUAGAGAUGCGGAGGAACACCGAUGGCGAAGGCAGCCCCCUGGGCUGACACUGACGUUCAGGCACGAAAGCGUGGGGAGCAAACAGG
rnacentral:rRNA from 1 species